UCUCCCUCAGGAUAGCUGGCACUCUCGCAUGAACCAUACAGUUUAUCCGAUUAAGCGAAUGAUUAGAGGUCUUGGGGCCCAAAUGAUCUCAACCUAUUCUCAAACUUCAAAUGGGUAAGAAGCCCGGCUCACUGGCAUGGAGUUGGGCAUGGAAUGCAAGUGCCUAGUGGGCCACUUUUGGUCUUGGAGGACUC
rnacentral:ncRNA from 1 species